rnacentral:rRNA from 1 species
CCCUUAGAUGUUCUGGGCCGCACGCGUGCUACACUGAGUAAUUCAAUAGGUAAGGGAACGCUAGAGCAUUACCUAAUCUUGAAAUUUGCUCGUGAUGGGGAUCGACGGUUGCAAUUUUCCGUCGUGAACGAGGAAUACCUUGUAGGCGCAUGUCAUCAUCAUGCGCCGAAUACGUCCCUGCCCUUUGUACACACCGCCCGUCGCUCCUACCGAUUGAGUGAUCCGGUGAGGCUCUGGGACCUGGACGGAAAGAGCGUUUCGCUUGUUCUGUUUGGGAAACUUGGUCGAACCUUAUCAUUUAGAGGAAGGAGAAGUCGUAACA